rnacentral:lncRNA from 1 species
UUGAGCUGUGAUGAACGAUGAAGUGUUGCUGAGUGGAGCUUUUGUCGAACUUAGAAUAGGCUCAGAAAGGAUAUGUGUCUGCAUACAUGUAUCUCAGUCUUGCCUUCCGCUGCAAACACUGAUUAUGUUUUAGUCAAGUCUAUAAUUAUGUCAAUUACUCUUCAAGAAAUAUUUAACGCUUACUCGGGUUCAUCGAGUAUCCUUUUUAACUAUAUGCGUCAAUCUUUCAAUGUCUUAAAUUUUAUUUCAAGAAUUAAUGCUAGAUAUAAAUGUCUAUAAUCGAGUUGUAAAUGAGUCAAAUGUGCCCUCUCUAACCCCGCUUCUUAAAUCCCUUCCCUAGUCACGAUUUCCCG